UACGUAGGGCGCAAGCGUUGUCCGGAAUUAUUGGGCGUAAAGAGCUCGUAGGCGGUUUGUCGCGUCUGUCGUGAAAGCUUGGGGCUUAACCCCAAGUCUGCGGUGGAUACGGGCAGACUAGAGGCAGGUAGGGGAGAACGGAAUUCCCGGUGUAGCGGUGGAAUGCGCAGAUAUCAGGAGGAACACCGAUGGCGAAGGCAGAUCUCUGGGCCGUAACUGACGCUGAGGAGCGAAAGCGUGGGGAGCGAACAGG
rnacentral:rRNA from 1 species